GAAGAAAGAUCAAUGGGAGGAGGGGGACAGCAUGGCAGAUUUAAUUAAUUACUGCAUAUUAAAAUGUUUGUUUACAGUAACAAACAGCUACAAGAGGUCUGAUGUUAAUUAAUUUACAGCAUUUUUCACCAGUCCCUUUGCCGUUGCUGGCAGUCAAGGAGGCAACACUGUGGCAGGAUAUACUGGUAUCUGGUGUUGUUUCCCACUGGUCUCAUUGGAGCCUGAUCCCAGCUUUGUUUCUGCCCUGUGGUCGGCCAGGACCCGGUUCUCCAGACUGCUGGAGGAGGUGAGGAAGAGUGCUGACAUGCUG
rnacentral:lncRNA from 1 species